rnacentral:rRNA from 1 species
AAGCGAAAAAAAGCUUGGACAACACAUGACUGGAAGUAAGUAGUCGGUGUUGAACUUAACUUAGUGGCGGACGGGUGAGUAACGCGUGAGUAACCUGCCUUUCAGAGGGGGAUAACGUCUGGAAACGGACGCUAAUACCGCAUGAUAUUUUGAAGCCGCAUGGCUUUAAAAUCAAAGGAGCAAUCCGCUGAAAGAUGGACUCGCGUCCGAUUAGCCAGUUGGCGGGGUAAAGGCCCACCAAAGCGACGAUCGGUAGCCGGACUGAGAGGUUGAACGGCCACAUUGGGACUGAGACACGGCCCAGACUCCUACGGGAGGCAGCAGUGGGGGAUAUUGCACAAUGGAGGAAACUCUGAUGCAGCAACGCCGCGUGAGGGAAGAAGGUCUUCGGAUUGUAAACCUUUGUCCUUGGUGAAGAAAAAAAUGACGGUAGCCAAGGAGGAAGCUCCGGCUAACUACGUGCCAGCAGCCGCGGUAAUACGUAGGGGGCGAGCGUUGUCCGGAUUUACUGGGUGUAAAGGGUGCGUAGGCGGCUCUGCAAGUCAGGCGUGAAAACCAUGGGCUUAACUCAUGGACUGCGUUUGAAACUGUGGGGCUUGAGUGAAGUAUAGGUAAGCGGAAUUCCCGUGUAACCGGUGAANUGGUAAANUCGGAAGAACNCCAGGGCGNAGGCGGCCUACUGGCUUUGACGCUAAGGCACGAAGGCAUGGUAGCAAACAGGAUUAGAUACCCUGGUAGUCCAUGCCGUAAACGAUGAUUACUAGGUGUGGGGGGUCUGACCCUUCCGGUGCCGGAGUUACACAAUAAGUAUCCACCUGGGGAGUACGGCGCCAGGUUGAAACUCAAAGGAAUUGACGGGGGCCCGCACAAGCAGUGGAGUAUGUGGUUUAAUUCGAAGCAACGCGAAGAACCUUACCAGGUCUUGACAUCCAACUAACAAGCCAGAGAUGCGUCAGGUGCCCUUCGGGGAAAGUUGAGACAGGUGGUGCAUGGUUGUCGUCAGCUCGUGUCGUGAGAUGUUGGGUUAAGUCCCGCAACGAGCGCAACCCCUGCAUCCAGUUGCCAGCGAGUGAAGUCGGGGACUCUGGAUGGACUGCCGGCGACAAGCCGGAGGAAGGUGGGGAUGACGUCAAGUCAUCAUGGCCCUUAUGUCCAGGGCGACACACGUGCUACAAUGGCCGGCACAAAGGGAAGCGAGGGGGCGACCCGGAGCGGAUCCCAUCAAAGCCGGUCCCAGUUCGGAUUGGAGUCUGCAACCCGACUCCAUGAAGCCGGAAUCGCUAGUAUCGCGGAUCAGCCAAGCCGCGGUGAAUAC